AUCUUAACAGAUCCGUCCAGGUUCGAUUUCUUUAUUUAGUUUAUUAUUCAAUCUCCUAAUGUUAUUAUUGUGUCUAUAUAUAAAAUUUUCAGCAUGUUUAAUUUAAAAAAAUAAGUGACUUCAGCUUGAGUAUUUUCGUUUAGCUUCUUUACUUGUCAUUUAAUCUUAGAGUGCGUUCAUUGUGAUUAUGUCAUUUGGUUUACCAAAAUGAUUAUCGUUGGAAUGAGCUUCCCAUAUGAUUUGAUUAUCACAUAUUCCCUCUUGAUGUAAUAAAAAAAAAUUGGUGACAUUUUACCUCUUUGUAAUCGAUUGUAAACCUUUUGAAAAUUAGAAUAAUUGGUUAUCUAGCUUAAUUACGG
rnacentral:misc_RNA from 1 species